AAGCUUACCAAAGAAUAUCAAACUCCGAAUGCCAUGUAGAUGAUGAAUGGGAGUCAGACUGCACGAGAUAAGUUGGGCGGUCAAAAGGGAAAGAGCCCAGACCACCGGCUAAGGUCCCAAAGUGUGUGUUAAGUGGAAAAGGAUGUGGGAAUUCGAAGACAACUAGGAUGUUGGCUCAGAAGCAGCCAUACAUUCAAAGAGUGCGUAACAGCUCACUAGUCGAGAGUUCCUGCGCCGAAAAUGUCCGGGGCUGAAACACGACACCGAAGCCGUGGACUCGCAAUGCGAGUGGUAGAGGAGCAUUCUUAAAACCGACGAAGCUGUACCGGAAGGAGCAGUGGAGGGAUAAGAAGAGAGAAUGCCGGAAUGAGUAGCGAGAGAAAGGUGGGAAUCCUUUCGGCCGAAUAUCUAAGGUUUCCAGAGUAAAGCUGAUCUGCUCUGGGUAAGUCGGGGCCUAAGCACAGGUCGCAAGACGUAAGCGAUGGAUAACAGGUUUAGAUUCCUGUACCACGCAUUAUCAGAACUGUAGGGACGCAUGUGGAAAGCACGAGCCGGGAAUGGAAAGACCGGUACAAGCGGGGUAGGUGUACAAUAGGCAAAUCCGUUGUAUAAUCCGAAGACGUGAUGUGGAGCGAAAUAAAGUAGUGAAGCGUGUGAGCCAUGUGCCGAGAAAAGCUGCUAUUGUGUAAUGCGUGCCCGUACCGUAAACCGACACAGGUGGAUGAGGAGAGAAUCCUAAGGCCGGCGGAAGAAGCAUUGUUAAGGAAUUCGGCAAAAUGACCCCGUAACUUCGGGAGAAGGGGUGCCUGCGAGAGCAGGCCGCAGAGAAUAGGCUCAAGCAACUGUUUAGCAAAAACACAGGUCUAUGCGAAACCGAAAGGUGAAGUAUAUGGGCUGACGCCUGCCCGGUGCUGGAAGGUUAAGAGGAGAGGUUAGCGCAAGCGAAGCUUUGAAUUUAAGCCCCAGUAAACGGCGGCCGUAACUAUAACGGUCCUAAGGUAGCGAAAUUCCUUGUCGGGUAAGUUCCGACCCGCACGAAAGGCGUAAUGAUUUGAGCACUGUCUCGACAAUGCAUCCGGUGAAAUUGAAGUACCAGUGAAGAUGCUGGUUACCCGCGCCAGGACGGAAAGACCCCAUGGAGCUUUACUCCAGUUUGAUACUGGGAUUCGGUACUGCAUGUACAGGAUAGGUGGGAGACGGAGAAGGAUGGACGCCAGUCUGUCCGGAGUCGCUGUUGGGAUACCACCCCUGUAGUACUGGGUUUCUAACCAGUUGCCAUGAACUGGCAAUGGGACAAUGUCAGGCGGGGAGUUUGACUGGGGCGGUCGCCUCCGAAAGGGUAUCGGAGGCGCUCAAAGGUUCCCUCAGAAUGGUUGGAAACCAUUUGAAGAGUGCAAAGGCAGAAGGGAGCUUGACUGCGACACCGACGGGUGGAGCAGGUACGAAAGUAGGACUUAGUGAUCCGGUGGUAUAAAGUGGGAUUGCCAUCGCUCAACGGAUAAAAGCUACCCUGGGGAUAACAGGCUUAUCACUCCCAAGAGUUCACAUCGACGGAGUGGUUUGGCACCUCGAUGUCGGCUCAUCGCAUCCUGGGGCUGUAGCAGGUCCCAAGGGUUGGGCUGUUCGCCCAUUAAAGCGGUACGCGAGCUGGGUUCAGAACGUCGUGAGACAGUUCGGUCCCUAUCCGGCGCGGGCGGAGGAUAUUUGAGAGGAGCUGUCCUUAGUACGAGAGGACCGGGAUGGACGGACCACUGGUGUAUCUGCUGUCGACCAACGGCAUGGCAGAGUAGCCAAGUCCGGAAGGGAUAAACGCUGAAGGCAUCUAAGCGUGAAGCCCCCCUCAAGAUGAGAUAUCCCUCCUUCGGGAGUAAGACCCCUUGA
rnacentral:rRNA from 1 species